UACGUAGGGUGCAAGCGUUAAUCGGAAUUACUGGGCGUAAAGCGUGCGCAGGCGGUUCUGUAAGCCAGAUGUGAAAAGCCCCCGGGCGUCAACCUGGGAACGUGCGUUUGGUAACUACAAGACUAGAGUGUGUCAGAGGGGGGUGGGAAUUCCGCGUGUAGCAGUGAAAUGCGUAGAGAUGCGGAGGAACACCAUGGCGAAGGCANCCCCUGGGCUACACUGACGCUCAUGCACGAAAGCGUGGGGAGC
rnacentral:rRNA from 1 species